rnacentral:rRNA from 1 species
AUUGAACGCUGGCGGCAUGCCUUACACAUGCAAGUCGAACGGCAGCAUGGAGAGCUUGCUCUCUGAUGGCGAGUGGCGAACGGGUGAGUAAAGCAUCGGAACGUACCGUGUAGUGGGGGAUAACGUAGCGAAAGUUACGCUAAUACCGCAUACGCACUGAGGUGGAAAGCAGGGGAUCGCAAGACCUUGCGCUAUACGAGCGGCCGAUGUCAGAUUAGCUAGUUGGUAGGGUAAAGGCCUACCAAGGCGACGAUCUGCAGCGGGUCUGAGAGGAUGAUCCGCCACGCUGGGACUGAGACACGGCCCAGACUCCUACGGGAGGCAGCAGUGGGGAAUUUUGGACAAUGGGGGAAACCCUGAUCCAGCCAUGCCGCGUGAGUGAAGAAGGCCUUCGGGUUGUAAAGCUCUUUCGGCUGGGAAGAAAUCGCACAGGCUAAUACCCUGUGUGGAUGACGGUACCAGCAUAAGAAGCACCGGCUAACUACGUGCCAGCCGCCGCCGUAAAAC